rnacentral:lncRNA from 1 species
UUAAGGAAUUAUAUAUACAGACGCCAUAUACAAGAAAAAGGGAGGGGCCAUUUUCUUCUUCUUCUUCUUCUUCUUAGACAAUGACCCAAUUUUUGGACCUUUUUUUUUCUUCAAAAACAGCACAUACAAUAUCGAAUACACACAUACAGAGAGAGAGAGAGUAACAGAGGGAAAUAGCAGCAAAGAGAGAGGGAGAGGAUCGAGAGGAUAAAGGAAUUUUGAGAGAUUUGGCGAAGAGACGGCAAAAUCGGCGCAAUCCCACUGGAAUCAGCGCCAAAAUCUGAUCGAAAAACGCCAGGGGUUCAAGUCGUUUGGGUGUUCAGUUUUCUCUUGGAUUUUUAUAGAUUCGGGUUCAUCUAUCUUGGUGAUUCAUUAUCGAAAUCGGGCUUUGGAUUCAUCGUUUGUCGUUCCUAGUUCGGGAUUUGGUUUUUCAUUCAUCUCGACUAGUUUUGGGUUUCAAAUUCCUUGAUAUCGAAGUUGGAGUUCGUCACUGUGGAGGUUAUAUUUGGAAUUCUAUAGUCCGGGCCUUAUUAAACAUUACUAUCGACAAAAUCGAUUCUUCGAAGGUCCAUCUCUUAACUCUACUUUUUUUAUCUCGAAAUUGAUUGGGGUGGUUUUGAAUACUUUAAGCAAAUGCUAAUUGUUGUUGUGGAUGACUUGUGUCCUUAAAGGUUUGAAUCUUCGUUGGGUAUAUGUGUUUGAUGUUGGUUUCGAAUUUUGAAAAGUGAUUUAAUAAUCGAAAAAUUUGCGAACCAUUGGUUGAGAAUGAAUUUGGGGCGGAAUGGCAAAAUUGAUAAAAGGAUGAUUUUAGAUUAAUGUUGGUUAGCUGUUAUUUUGUUUAAUUCGAGAUAAAUAUCAAGUUAAAUUUGAUAGUCUCGUGUGAUAGGUCGAUUUGGAUAGGCAAAUGUAGACUCGGGUAGGCAAAUUUAGAAAUUGUGUUUGGUUGAAUGUGCGUGAGAAUGAAUGUUUUCUACUUUAUCGCAUUCGAUUCAAAUGUAUUCAUUUAGCCGGGGAAUGCCCCGAGGUCUUCUGUACUUAUUCACCGGGAAAUGCCCCGACGUAUCAUGUUGGCAGAAAAUGAUCCUGAUGAAGGCCCGCGGCAUCGGGUAAGGCAUUGGAGCUUAGUCUAGAUUUAGUUUAGAAUAGGAUUUAUAUUUUCGUAUUUUUCUAUUUUUGGACUGUAUAAUUGGACUGGACUUUACAUUUUGGAUUGUUUUGUUUUGUUUGAUUAUUUGGCAUGCUUUUUUGUGCGGUUUAUAUGUUUCUUAGUGCCAAAAAAAAAAUAGUCGAUACACUCUACCAAGCGACCGUGGUUGAACCACGGGAUCGAGGGGUGCCUAACACCUUCCCCUCGGUCAACAGAAUUCCUUAGCCGGAAUCUUUGUUCGCAAACCAUUUUAAAGAGUCAAAUGAUUUUUGAAAAGGAUUUUCCAAUGGUGACUUGGCACACCAGAUUAUGCCAAGUGGCGACUCUGAAUAAAAAAAUAUUAAUAAUCCUUUUCCAAAACAAAUUUCAUUUCUUGUCACUUAAAUAAUAAAACCCUUUUCGAACAUUAAUUUAUAACCAUUUUUUUGGAGUGCGUAAAAAGGGGUGUGACAUAUAUGUUUUAUGAAUUAGUAUAUAAGUAUAUCUAUAUAUAUAUAUUGUAAUGUAUAUAUAUUGUAGUAUAUUUUAUAAGUAGUAGUAUAUAUAUACAUUGAAUGGUGCGUAUAUAUGAGUAAUUGACUAAUUGUGUAUAUGUGUAUAUAUUUUUUAAAUUCUAAUGUAGUAUAUACUAUAUAUAUAGUGUAUAUAUAUUAUUUAACAUAUUUAUAAUGUAUAUAGGUGGGUACAUGUAAUGUAUAUUGAAAGAAUUUUUUUUUUAUAUUUUUGACCGGGUUUGAUCGAUUUUUUAACCGGAUUUGACCGGGUUUGAUCGAUUUUUAACCGGGUUUGACCGAGUUUUGGUGGGUUUACCCGGGUUAGGGUAUAUUUUAAUUUUUUUACUGUUUGGCCCGGCCCGUCUAGCGCCAAAACCGGCCCUUAACCGGCCCUCAACCCGGUUAAAAUAGAAGGGCCGGUUCCGGGUUGGCCCGGCCCGGCCUAUUUGACACCCAUACAUGUGCGGUAUUUGAGGUAGUAUUGAUAAAGCUCAAUCUUCGGAGGUAGUGGUAUGGACUGCGUACAGAGGCGGAUAGGAUUUCGAGGUUGCGGGUGCCAUGCCACUUUUAACGUUAAAGCUACUACUCAAAAAGGAUACUUUUUAUGGGCGUCCCACUAGAAUUUGGCUUGUUAGUAAGAGAUUUUUGAAGGAAAAUCUCAUUGAAACGUUAUCGAAGAACCUAUUUUUCACGAAUUCAGUUAAUUUUUUGCUUUACAUUUUGCUAUUUACACUGCCCCAAAUAAGACAAAUAUUUUAUCGAUUUUAUAGACUUUGGGUUUCGAUUUGAUUAUUUGUCUUUUCAAUUUGUAUAGACAAAUAGAUCAAAUAAUAAAAAUGUGAUUAUUAUUAUAAAAACUAUCAAAAACAACUUUUCUACUUUUCCGGAGGUAGUGUAUGGACUGCAUAUAUUUUACCCUCCCCAGACCCCGCUAUGUGGGAAUACACUGAAUUUGUUGUUGUUGUUGUUAUUACUAUAAAUUGUGUAAACAAGAGUUAAAUUCAACUUAUCGGUCAGCGUGAAAGUACAAAAUAGUUGUCAACAUUCAAUGGAUAUUUUCAAUUCUAUUGUUAAGAAAUUAUAACAUCAAGCCAAGCAUCAUUAUGAUGAUUUACGAGGAGAGGUUAACUAUAAAUUUGAAGGAAGAAGGAAUCUUCAACUAUAUUCUACACUUAAGUUAAAAAUUCUUAAACAAAGAUUAUCCAAAAAAAAGAGUCAAACAAAGAUUAAGUCAAGAGGGAAAAAACUUGUAGAAAAUAGAAUAGCGAUAAAAAAGUGACAAAAUAAUGCUAGCGUCUGGAUUUGAACUCUGGUAUACUACGUAAAAUUUCAGCGCAUUUGUCAUUGACACUACUUCCUCAACUGCUGCACCGGGUGGCACUUAAAUAAUAUACCGAUUUUCUUCAAAAUAUAUACACAGAGUUUUUUUAUCGAAGUUUGCGGGUGUCAUGUCAUUCCUGAACCCCCAUUAGAUCCGCCCCUGACUGCGUACAUCUUACUCUCCCCAGACCUCACUAUGUGGGAAUACACUGGGUUUGUUGUUGUUAUUGAUAAAGCUCAACUUCAUGCAUUUUUGUCCGUAUUCAUGCAAAGUUUAAUUAUAUUUGUGAAUUUUAUACACUGCAUAUUUAAAGUUAUUCCAAUUUUCAAAUUAACUAGAUAAACGUGAAAAAAAAUGGAAACUUAAGUUCAAAUUAAACAGCAGACAUGUUCAAAUAUGAUAUCUCACGAGAUAUUUUUGCGUCUUAAAAUACCUACCAUAUAUAACAAUACGGUCGUAGAGAGUACGUUAACUUUUGCUAGUAUUUCUUUUGCUUGUACAAGUUCACAUAUCAAUAAUAAUUAUAUAUGCUCAACCUCAAAUAUAUUGGGUUACUUAUGUGAAGACUUUGGAGUACUGCACAAUAUACACGUGCAUUAGCAUUGCUCCUUCUUAUAUUAUACUAAUUUUGUUUAUCUUCAGCACUAACACUAAAAGAAUGAGAUAUUUACACUAUUAUGUUCGGACAGUUUUAGAAUAAGUGAUCUAAUGUUUGAUUUCAUUUUUCUAUACUGUCUAAUAUCUAUAUAGUGAUAACGUCUGUCUAAUAUCUAUAUAGUGAUAAUGUUUGUCUAAAAAUUUUAUGGUUCUAAUAGAGAUGUUAUGUUAUAUAUAUAUAUAUAUAUAUAUAUAUAUAUAUAUAUCGGUAUUUGAUAUUUAGAUCUAAUUUAUCUAUUAUAAACAAAAGUAUGCAAAAUUAGAAAGAGCAUGGAUAUAAAAAAAAAGAUAAAUAUUAGUAGUCUUUUCUUCGUGAGAUUAUGAAAUAACUUAUGUGGAUGAUUUAAAUAUAUUUUUUUCCUUUACAUUAGAUAUUCGUACUUGAAAUUUACUGUGUGCACUACAUUUAUGAUGAUUAACAUUGAUAUUUUUGUAUUUUAUUUUGUAUGUGAUAUGUUUCUUAUAAAAUAUUAUUAUAUAAUAUUUGAGUAUGCUAUUGUAUUGAGAGAUAAUUUUACAAAGUGCGUACCACUAUAAUUUAUUAUUAGGUCGAACACCGUUAUGUUUUGAGAGUUUGUUUUCCUAUGUUCUUGCUGCUUUACCAGUUGAGGGAUUGAAUGAAUCUGGUAGGAAGGGUUUGAAGGCAUGGUAAUAAAAGAGGUUGAUGAAGAGGAGGAGGAGCUAAAACAACUUCUUUAUGACCAACAAAUUUCUUCUCAGUACUUGCCAUAUUUACACGGGCUUCAGUCCCUGGAUAAGUUAUUGGAGUCUUCACUGGAGGACGAGUUUUCAAAGAAGGUAAUAGAACAUGAGUUUCAUCAACAGUGUAUGCAUUAGUAGAAGGAGGAGGAGAAAAAAUAACUUCUUUAAGACCAACAAAGUUCCUUUCAGUAACCCUGUUUGUCAUAUUAACACUGGCUUCAAUUUCUGGAUUGGGUGAUGGAGUCUUAAAUGAAGGACGGGUUUGCAAAGAUGCUAAUAGAAGAUGAGUUUCAUCAAGAGGAUAUGCAUUAAUAAGAGGAAGAUGAGUGAAAAAAUCUUUAUAGCCAACAAAGUUUCUUUCAGUAAUCGUGCUUGAAAUAUUUACAGUGGCCUCGAUUGCUGGAUUUAGUGAUGGAGUCUUGACUGGAGAACAGAUUUUCUUAGUUGGUAAUAACACAUUUGUUUCAUUAAGAGGGUAUGCAUUGGUAGUAGGAGCAAAAAACUUUUUACGACCGACAAAGUUUCUUUCAAUUACCCUGCUUGCCAUAUUACUAGUGGCCUCGGUUCCUGAAUUGGGUGAUGGAGUCUUAACUGGGGGAUGGAUUUGCAAAGAUGGCAAUAGAAGAUGAGUUUCAUCAAGAGUUCUUAUAGCUUCAUUUGUUCCAAUCCUUGAGAGAAAAAGAAGAACAAGAAAGAGGAGGAAUAGUUUCAUGACUUCUACAAGUUGUUAAUGUUGAUACACAAUUGUACACUAAAAUGAGG